rnacentral:rRNA from 1 species
GAUGCAGCCAUGCCGCGUGUGUGAAGAAGGCCUUCGGGUUGUAAAGCACUUUCAGUAGGGAGGAAGGUAGUGUAGUUAACACCUGCAUUAUUUGACGUUACCUACAGAAGAAGCACCGGCUAACUCCGUGCCAGCAGCCGCGGUAAUACGGAGGGUGCGAGCGUUAAUCGGAAUUACUGGGCGUAAAGCGCAUGCAGGCGGCCUGUUAAGUCAGAUGUGAAAGCCCGGGGCUUAACCUCGGAAUUGCAUUUGAAACUGGCAGGCUAGAGUCUUGUAGAGGGGGGUAGGAAUUUCAGGUGUAGCGGUGAAAUGCGUAGAGAUCUGAAGGAAUACCAGUGGCGAAGGCGGCCCCCUGGACAAAGACUGACGCUCAGAUGCGAAAGCGUGGGGAGCAAACAGGAUUAGAUACCCUGGUAG